rnacentral:lncRNA from 1 species
AUUAUAACUAGUGGAAACUUGAAAGGCUUUAGCCAGAAUUUGGGGUUUUACUAGGUGGUAAUGUCCGAGCUUUGGGAUUAUACUAUUUAAUUUGUUUGGGGUAAGAGAUAUCAUAUAUAGACUUUCUCUUGAGUCUGAUUCGGCAAUCGCGAUGUUCUUGUUUACUAAGAGGUGUCUCUCGAUACACCCUUGUUCUUUGAUUGUCUUUCUUGUUAAUCGCAUUUUGAUGAAGUAUUGGGAGAUCGUUACUCAUAUUUAUAGGCAUGUAAACCAUGUGGUUUUGGUGUGCGAACUACGUCCUUUAUUUAUUCAUGAGUGUUCAUUAUCCAUAUCAUCAUUCACGAGGUUGUGUUAAUUAACCUUUUAUGACAUGAUGUAGCUAAUGUUUAUUUUUAUCACCGUGGUCUUUUGCAAGGACGGAUCCAAGAUUAGUAUUUUGAUGUGGCUAAAAUAAUAAUGUCAACAAAAUUUGCCCAAUGAAAUUAAAGAAUAUGCACUAUUUCACAAAGAAUAACAAUUUUAGUAGUUUUAUUUGGGCUAUAUUUUUUUUUUAUUCAAAGUUGAUUUGUAACCCUAACAAUUGCUAAUUAGAACAAAAUGAGUCGCCAACCUCCUUUAACAUUUUAAUCUUCUUAUUGCUCUGCAAAAUGUUCAUCCCUCAUUAGUUCUAAUAAUAGACAUUCUUCGUAUGUAAAAAAAAAAAAUUAGGAGUUUAUAACCACACCAUGCCCUAGAUUGCAUCCGUCCAUGGUCUCUUGUAAUCUGGUCUAACAGCACCCUUAUAUUAAAAAAC